CAUGCAGUCGAGCGGUAGAGAGAAGCUUGCUUCUCUUGAGAGCGGCGGACGGGUGAGUAAUGCCUAGGAAUCUGCCUGGUAGUGGGGGAUAACGUUCGGAAACGAACGCUAAUACCGCAUACGUCCUACGGGAGAAAGCAGGGGACCUUCGGGCCUUGCGCUAUCAGAUGAGCCUAGGUCGGAUUAGCUAGUUGGUGAGGUAAUGGCUCACCAAGGCGACGAUCCGUAACUGGUCUGAGAGGAUGAUCAGUCACACUGGAACUGAGACACGGUCCAGACUCCUACGGGAGGCAGCAGUGGGGAAUAUUGGACAAUGGGCGAAAGCCUGAUCCAGCCAUGCCGCGUGUGUGAAGAAGGUCUUCGGAUUGUAAAGCACUUUAAGUUGGGAGGAAGGGCAGUUACCUAAUACGUGAUUGUUUUGACGUUACCGACAGAAUAAGCACCGGCUAACUCUGUGCCAGCAGCCGCGGUAAUACAGAGGGUGCAAGCGUUAAUCGGAAUUACUGGGCGUAAAGCGCGCGUAGGUGGUUUGUUAAGUUGGAUGUGAAAUCCCCGGGCUCAACCUGGGAACUGCAUUCAAAACUGACUGACUAGAGUAUGGUAGAGGGUGGUGGAAUUUCCUGUGUAGCGGUGAAAUGCGUAGAUAUAGGAAGGAACACCAGUGGCGAANGCGACCACCUGGACUAAUACUGACACUGAGGNGCGAAAGCNUGGGGA
rnacentral:rRNA from 1 species